rnacentral:lncRNA from 1 species
GAGGAAUUCACUUUCUUCUACCUGAACAUAGCUGACAGCCUCGCCAAGGAAAGGACACACAGCCCAUCAUUCGACAGCGGUAGAAGCUGCCACAUCGCUAUGUCUCCUGUCCCUUACUCACAGUUUGCCGGCCGGCAGGAUUACAGAAAAGGAGGAAUUGAAAAAAAAGAAGGAAAAAAGGGAGGAAAGAAAGAAGGAAAAAGAAACAAGAUGCCCCAGAAGAAGAUGACUUAUGUUUUUACAGCUGCUUCUAUGUUGUCAAUUUCCAAAUGAGAAAUCAUGCACUGGCU